UACGGAGGGUGCAAGCGUUGUUCGGAAUUACUGGGCGUAAAGCGUACGUAGGUGGAUUUGUAAGUCAGGCGUGAAAGCCCCCGGCUUAACCGGGGAGGGUCGCUUGAUACUACAAGUCUUGAGUUUCGGGGAGGUGAGUGGAAUUCCCAGUGUAGAGGUGAAAUUCGUAGAUAUUGGGAGGAACACCGGUGGCGAAAGCGACUCACUAAUCGAAUACUGACACUCAAGUACGAAAGCAUGGGUAGCAAACAGG
rnacentral:rRNA from 1 species